AACGCACGAGACCUGCGGACCUGCGGAGGGAUCAUUAUCGAGUGUUGGUCUCUAAGACCGCCUCCCACCCUUUGUCUAUUGACUUGUUGCUUCGGCGAAUCGCCUUUACCUUCUGGUAAAAGGCCAUUGGCAAUCGCGAAUGUGUAUUCGCCGAAGGAUUUUUAAAAACUCUUGAAUAUCAAGUUGUCUGAGUUUGAAAACAAAAAAAUUAAAACUUUCAACAAUGGAUCUCUAGAUCGG
rnacentral:misc_RNA from 1 species